UAACCGGUGGAAACGCCGCCUAAUACCCCAUGGCGAUAUAUUGAGGCAUCUUGAUAUAUCUAAAGCUCCGGCGGAGACGGAUUGGCUCGCGUGACAUUAGCUGGACGGCGGGGUAACGGCCCACCAAGGCGACGAUGCGUAGGGGUUCUGAGAGGAAGGUCCCCCACACUGGUACUGAGACACGGACCAGACUCCUACGGGAGGCAGCAGUGAGGAAUAUUGGUCAAUGGCCGCAGGGCUGAACCAGCCAAGUCGCGUGAGGGAUGACGGUCCUAUGGAUUGUAAACCUCUUUUGUCAGGGAGCAAAGGGCGCCACGUGUGGCGUUUUGCGAGUACCUGAAGAAAAAGCAUCGGCUAACUCCGUGCCAGCAGCCGCGGUAAUACGGAGGAUGCGAGCGUUAUCCGGAUUUAUUGGGUUUAAAGGGUGCGCAGGCGGAAUGUCAAGUCAGCGGUAAAAUUUCGGGGCUCAACCCCGUCGUGCCGUUGAAACUGGCGUUCUUGAGUGAGCGAGAAGUAUGCGGAAUGCGUGGUGUAGCGGUGAAAUGCAUAGAUAUCACGCAGAACUCCGAUUGCGAAGGCAGCAUGCCGCCGCUCAACUGACGCUCAUGCACGAAAGCGUGGGUAUCGAACAGGAUUAGAUACCCUGGUAGUCCACGCAGUAAACGAUGAAUACUAACUGUCCGGGCAGAAUGAUGCCUGGGU
rnacentral:rRNA from 1 species